UACGGAGGAUGCGAGCGUUAUCCGGAUUUAUUGGGUUUAAAGGGUGCGUAGGCGGACUGGAAAGUCAGCGGUAAAAUCGAGAGGCUCAACCUCUUUCCGCCGUUGAAACUGCCGGUCUUGAGUGGGCGAGAAGUAUGCGGAAUGCGUGGUGUAGCGGUGAAAUGCAUAGAUAUCACGCAGAACUCCGAUUGCGAAGGCAGCAUACCGGCGCCCGACUGACGCUGAGGCACGAAAGCGUGGGUAUCGAACAGG
rnacentral:rRNA from 1 species